rnacentral:lncRNA from 1 species
UAAUCCUGUGACCUUGUCCUGCCCUUGCUUCUGGCCUCCUGGACACCUGACCUUUCUUUCCACUUAUGCGGUGUCACCCUGCUCACACCCGAGUCUCAUGUUCCCUCUUCCUCUUUGUGGGCCAUGAAUCUAACUUCCUGGUCCUCUUGGUGGAUUUCUGCUUUUGUUCACAGGGGAAAUCUGCUGGGGAACCCAUGCGCCUCUCCCAAGGCACCCACACAGCCACAUGCUUCCCCGACCACAGGGCUGUGACCCCAGGUCUGCGACCCCAGGUCUGCAUUUCUCCGAAAGAAUGACCUCGUUCCCUCCCCCGGCAAUGGUGGGGUCAUCAUGUGAUAGAGGAUUGUCCAGACGACAAACGGAACCAGAUGAUGAUCACAGGGAAAGCCAAGUAUGGAAAAACCUGAGCAAACAUUUCGGAGCUCCCUGUGUAACUUCUCAUGUCCCUUCUCGGUCCAUGGGUAUCUACCGUGAUGAACAGCAUAAAAGGUAA